AUAUCAAUAAGCGGAGGAAAAGAAACCAACAGGGAUUGCCUUAGUAACGGCGAGUGAAGCGGCAAAAGCUCAAAUUUGAAAUCUGGCACUUUCAGUGUCCGAGUUGUAAUUUGAAGAAGGUAACUUUGGAGUUGGCCCUUGUCUAUGUUCCUUGGAACAGGACGUCACAGAGGGUGAGAAUCCCGUGCGAUGAGGUGUCCAAUUCUAUGUAAAGUGCUUUCGAAGAGUCGAGUUGUUUGGGAAUGCAGCUCUAAGUGGGUGGUAAAUUCCAUCUAAAGCUAAAUAUUGGCGAGAGACCGAUAGCGAACAAGUACAGUGAUGGAAAGAUGAAAAGAACUUUGAAAAGAGAGUGAAAAAGUACGUGAAAUUGUUGAAAGGGAAGGGCUUGAGAUCAGACUCGGUAUUUUGCAAGCCUAUCCUUCGUGGAGAGGUUUAUUAGCAGCUUACCGGGCCAGCAUCGGUUUGGAUGGUAGGAUAAUGGCAUUGGAAUGUGGCUCCUCGGAGUGUUAUAGCCUUUGUUGAUACUGCCUAUCUAGACCGAGGACUGCGUCUUUGACUAGGAUGCUGGCGUAA
rnacentral:rRNA from 1 species